rnacentral:rRNA from 1 species
CACGUAGGGGCCAAGCGUUGUCCGGAUUUAUUGGGCGUAAAGAGCUCGUAGGCGGCUUGGCAAGUCGGGUGUGAAAACCCCAGGCUCAACCUGGGGACGCCACUCGAUACUGCCAUGGCUUGAGUCCGGUAGGGGAGCGGGGAAUUCCUGGUGUAGCGGUGAAAUGCGCAGAUAUCAGGAGGAACACCGGUGGCGAAGGCGCCGCUCUGGGCCGGUACUGACGCUGAGGAGCGAAAGCGUGGGGAGCAAACAGG